AUGGAACCAAAGAUGCAUGUUAGUCAAUAUUUUCUGCUUUUAUAUUUUGUCCUACUCUUGCAUGGAGCCCCUGCAUUCCAAACUUCAGACCUGCCUAUGAAGUCUUGUUUUUUGAAUAACACCCUAUACAAAAUGCUAGAAAUGCCUUGCUCCACUCAACCAUAUCAAGAAACGCAUUCAAGAGUUAAAGGAGAAAAAACUGUGUACCUAAAGAUUAUGGUAAAUCCUCUAAAUUUGGUCUUCAAUUAGGGUUUAACUUCAUUUAAAGAAAACAUUUGCUCUGUAAGGGAAUUAACCACGUGACCAUACUGGCGUACAGUCUACUUUAUGCAUGAUUUGAUUUGUUGUCAAAAUGAUGCUCCACAUCUGUUUUUGGACUUACUUUUGAUCAACACCAAGCUCUUAUUGUUUUUCUUUUUCUUUUUUUUCUUUAAUUUUUUUCCCCUCUUGUUUUAUGACGGGGUGGAACGUGCCCCUGAGAGUCUGUUGCCGAAGUGGAUGAAGCACAAUGUGAGAACAGCCAGGAGCCGCACCUCCACAUGUUGAAAUAAGCACUUUUCCUCGGACACUUGUAUCAAUUCCCUGUUGGUACAGUUAAUGAUACAGAAUGCAUAUUUUUCUUUUUUUUUUGCCUUUCUGCCUUUUUAUUAGAACAUUUAGUAAAUUAAUCCUAGAAGUUAUCCCACACAUUGAAACUUCAUUAUUUAUCUGCAUUCGCUGCGGAAGUAAAGGAAGGUGCUCGUGGUGGUUAACUAUGGAAUGGGCCCUUUCUGUUGGUGAUGUACAUUUGUAAAUCAUCAUCAUUACACCUUUUUGCUUAGAGAUGUUUUUAGGACAUCUCAAAGUAAAUCAACCAAAUACAUUUCCAUUUCUUUUACAGGUCUGUCCUGUUUUGCCCACAAAACAUAACCUCGUUUGUGUUUACAUCCUACUUAGGCCUGUUUCCUUUUUGUUGACAAAUAUGAUUUUGUCCCAGACAUUUUCUGUUUUCAAAAGAAUUGUAAAAUGUCACCCUAACCUGAUUGAUCACACUGAUAUUUCCACAUAAAAACAUGGCCACACUUUAAAAUUUGGCAUUUAACUGAUGGGAAUGAAGUGCUCUCAUGUUACUUGCUUUCAAAGUUGCACUUGCUCUUUGUAAAGAUAGGUUGUCGCUCCCAAGAUUGAAUAAUGAACAGAUGUUGUACCUUUUGUAUUCAAGCAUCAGUUGAAAGUGACUGUCUCGUCACAUCCUAACUGAAUUGCCUUCGACCACUAUCAACAGUCUACGUCUAUAUAUGAGACUUUGAGCUUCUGCUUCCAGUCCUUUUGUAUUCAGGAUAUCAAGACAUUGUAAGCACAUGGCUGGCUGCAUUUUUGUGUCCUGAAUGAAUUCAGAAGUUUGAUUGUAUGACUUUUAACACAAUUCUGUAGCCUCUAAGCUGCCAUGUGGACUCUUAGCUUCUUACGCCGACAAAAAUAAGGAAAAUGUUUAUCAGACCCCUGGCUUCAAUAAAACCAAGAAUCCAAACUUUGUUCGACGUUUCACAUUUUUGUGUCUGUGUAUGCAAGUGUUUGAUUAAUCGUGUUUUCGACAAAAUACUGAACGUUGUGAGAACGGAACAUUUCACAACAUUAAUUUAUCCACAAGAACGCCACAUGGAAGCACAUAGCAAUAUGAAAUAGUGUUAUUGAGUUACUAACACUGGUGCUGAUUGCUCAAUUAAAAAUGGAAAUGUAAGCACUCAAUGACACUGUUAGUAAAACACUGAAAGAUUGCAAGUAUAGGCAGAGAUUAAAAGAUUUUAAUGUUGACCCCCUUUGCUUUUUAUACACAAAAUAUGUCUCAAAUUACACAUUUUAUUAUCUAAGGCAUUGCUGAGGAAAUCUACCCAUUGUACAUUUUAGACAAGCCUUUGGAUGAGAUAGAGGGGGUGACAUGCAACAAAGGGCGACAGGUCGGACUUGAACCCUGGGGUGCUGCAGCAAGGACAAGGCCCUUACACUCAGGACUCCCGCUCUACCAACUGAUCUAACAGGUGCCCCUAAAAAUCAUUUCUAGAGCUUCACAGAGAAACUGUUCACCCAAAGAACUAAAGUAGAUGUGGACUUGUUUUAAAAUGUAAAAAAUAAUAAUAAUAAAUUGAAUGGCUUCAUGCAGCUUUAUCUUGCAGAAUCCACGUCUAAGUUUCCAGGUUCCAAAUGCAUUUGAAAAUACUUUAUUUGCACGUUUUCUUUUAGAGCUGAAAUCUUCACUAUAGUUGCUAAGCUAAAGGGUUGUCUGUUUCAAGUGCAUGUAAAUACUGGCGUGAACUCAGUUUGGGAUCUCGGGGCUUCCUCAGACUUGGACUAUGGAGUUUUUUUUUUUUACAUUUUAAAACACGUCCUCAUCUACAUCAGUUGUUCAGGACAGUGCUUCAAUGCUGUUGCUCUGUGAGGAUCCCACACUGAGUUGACAAGACAUUAUUUAAACCCAUUUCAGACAGGUGCUUUCUAACUCUUGGUGAAGAUUUUGGCACCAAGAAAAGGUCUAAAUAAAGUUUUUCCAAAUCAGUUUGGAAACUUAAGGCUUCCACAGCCUUGGAUUACUUAGGAGGGCUGCUAGGGACGAGAAGAAGGUGGCUGAAAUGUACCUUUUUUUUUUUUACUUAUCCUUUAAAAAUUGUUGAAGCCAAGCAUGGCAACUGUGUGGACUCCAGAGAGAACUGUACUUGAUCCACUGGCAUCACAAGCAGAGAUCUG
rnacentral:lncRNA from 1 species